UAAUCAUUUGUCUAUUAAUUGUAGACCUGUAUGAAAGGCAAAAUGAGGGUUUAACUGUCUCUUAUGGUAAAUCUAUUAAACUGAUCUCCCAUUAAAAAAGCUGGGAUGCUCCCACAAGACCAGAAGACCCUGUGAAGCUUUAAUUAAACUAUUAAACCUUAUAAUAACUACUUUAGGUUGGGGCGACCUUGGAAACAAAAAGAACUUCCAAACACUACACACUUUACCUCCACUUCUUAGGCCCACAAGCCACCUAACGACCCAGUAAUACUGAUAAAUGAACAAAGUUACUCCAGGGAUAACAGCGCUAUCUUCUUCAAGAGCCCAUAUCAAAAAGAAGGUUUACGACCUCGAUGUUGGAUCAGGACAUCCCAAUGGUGCAGCCGCUAUUAAAGGUU
rnacentral:rRNA from 1 species